UGUCACUGGUAAUAAAGUUUCAUAUUGCCUAUGUUACCUGUUAAUCCAAAAGGAGCAAAGUUUGAGGACGCUGCUGAAGAGCCCAGACCUGCACACAGCUGCAUUUCAGCAGCUGAAGUGCCAGCAGUAUCCCAAAAUCCUGCCUUUAUACUGAGGUUGUAGAAAUGUUCUGGAACAUGUGAUUUGUACACCAUGACUGGAAGGCUGGCUGCUUUGUGGUUCUGGCAAAAAACUGGGCUGACUCCUGUAAAAUGAGUGCACUGACACUGCCAAAGUUUUCAAAGCCUGUUUUUCCACCUUUGUUCUGUGGAUGCAGAUCUCAAACCAGUGUAACUUCCUGUUGCUGGAGCAUCAAACAUACACAAAUUCAAGAUACAGUAAAAAAAAAAAAUUCUGUUCAGACUUGUUUACUUUGAAUAAAAAUAAGAAUAUUCAUAUAAUGAAGCUUGACUGAGUGGAACCAGGUUAAGGAUGCUCCAACCAUCACGACAGUGGUGAUGAAACUGGAAGAUUUUUUUUACUAGAAGUCAGUGUCUAUUAAGUAGAACACUAAAUUACUCAGCACAGGUAUUGUUAGAGCAGUCCUGACCAAUAACAUAUUUUUAAUACCAGUGACUCUUGUUGAACUCAUCUCUGUAAUUGUUUUUGAUGAUCAAAUGAUUCAGAGUGCCCUAAAAGCAUGGCAAUAAAAG
rnacentral:lncRNA from 1 species